CAACCCUCAAGCUCAGCUUGGUGUUGGGGCCCUACGCGCGAGCGUAGUCCCUGAAAAUUAGUGGCGGGCUCGCUGGAGGUCCGGGCGUAGUAGCGAUAUCUCGCCUGCGGCCGCCAGCGCUCCCCAGCCGUUAAACCCCCGAUUUUACAGAAGG
rnacentral:misc_RNA from 1 species